rnacentral:rRNA from 1 species
GACGAACGCUGGCGGCGUGCCUAAUACAUGCAAGUAGAACGCUGAAGCUUGGUGCUUGCACCGAGCGGAUGAGUUGCGAACGGGUGAGUAACGCGUAGGUAACCUGCCUGGUAGCGGGGGAUAACUAUUGGAAACGAUAGCUAAUACCGCAUAAGAGUAGAUGUUGCAUGACAUUUGCUUAAAAGGUGCAAUUGCAUCACUACCAGAUGGACCUGCGUUGUAUUAGCUAGUUGGUGAGGUAACGGCUCACCAAGGCGACGAUACAUAGCCGACCUGAGAGGGUGAUCGGCCACACUGGGACUGAGACACGGCCCAGACUCCUACGGGAGGCAGCAGUAGGGAAUCUUCGGCAAUGGACGGAAGUCUGACCGAGCAACGCCGCGUGAGUGAAGAAGGUUUUCGGAUCGUAAAGCUCUGUUGUAAGAGAAGAAACGAGUGUGAGAAGUGGAAAGUUUCACAACU